rnacentral:lncRNA from 1 species
CCAUAAGUAUAAGCAUGCAGCGGCAGUAUAGGAAACAGGCUGUAGAGUGAAGACAGCACCACAGGUGAUCGUAAUCUCAUUUCCAGUUCUUAUCUCUCUACCACUGCCCUGGACCAGAAGACGAUCACGCUGGAUGUGCACAGCAUGUAGAGUACUGUCUAAGAUGAGCUGUGAAGGUAGAAGAGGAAGAGGAUGUGGACCAGUUACCACUGGAACAGCCUUACCAUCUGAAGAGGACCUGCAAAACCAUGUAUCACCACAUCUGUGGUGUUCAAUCCUAGAGUUCAAUCCCACAGGACUAUCACUGUGGUCUAUAGGAGGCACUACUGCAUCUGAGAGCACCAGCAAGUCUCAAAUACUGCAAAAUGUACUGCAAAUACAACAGUGCUCUUCUGCUGCAGAACAGGUAUCCUGGGGAGCUCUGAAAUGCCUCUGGUACACAAAAUAAAGCAAGUUUUUGAUUUUAAUUGCCACUGACUAGAGGCUUCAUGUUGAGUAGUUAUCCAUGUUGGGCUGCUGUAGACUUCAGAAAAGACAUGGAACAAUUGGAGAAGCCAGACAAGGAAAACAGGCAAGAUCUGGAAAACAUAACCCGCAAAGAAAUAUAGGUGAAUUUUGAGUUGUUCAGCCUUUGACAUUGUUCAGACUUUCUGUAGCUCUGGUGAAUGCAUUCAUCACAGAGUAAGUGGGCACUUCCAAACUUCAGUCUGGAAGAGGUGGAUUUAUAGCUGCUUAUGAAGAAAGCAGUAAGAUAGUUCUUAUUGUAGCAGAAAAUAUAUGUAUAUCUAUAAACCUGUUUUCAAAGUCACAUUAAAGUAAUGUUGAUU